AGAGUUUGAUCCUGGCUCAGGAUGAACGCUGGCGGCGUGCUUAACACAUGCAAGUCGAACGAUCCUUCGGGAUAGUGGCGGACGGGUGAGUAACGCGUGGGAAUCUGCCCUCAGGAGGGGGAUAACGGCUGGAAACGGCCGCUAAUACCCCAUAUGCCGAGAGGUGAAAUGAAUUUCGCCUGAGGAUGAGCCCGCGUCUGAUUAGCUAGUUGGUGGGGUAAAGGCCUACCAAGGCAACGAUCAGUAGCUGGUCUGAGAGGAUGAUCAGCCACACUGGGACUGAGACACGGCCCAGACUCCUACGGGAGGCAGCAGUGGGGAAUUUUCCGCAAUGGGCGAAAGCCUGACGGAGCAACGCCGCGUGAGGGAUGAAGGCCUCUGGGCUGUAAACCUCUUUUCUCAAGGAAGAAGACCUGACGGUACUUGAGGAAUAAGCCACGGCUAAUUCCGUGCCAGCAGCCGCGGUAAUACGGGAGUGGCAAGCGUUAUCCGGAAUUAUUGGGCGUAAAGCGUCCGCAGGCGGCCUUGUAAGUCUGUUGUUAAAGCGUGGAGCUCAACUCCAUUUAAGCAAUGGAAACUACAAGGCUGGAGUGUGGUAGGGGCAGAGGGAAUUCCCGGUGUAGCGGUGAAAUGCGUAGAUAUCGGGAAGAACACCAGUGGCGAAGGCGCUCUGCUGGGCCAUAACUGACGCUCAUGGACGAAAGCCAGGGGAGCGAAAGGGAUUAGAUACCCCUGUAGUCCUGGCCGUAAACGAUGAACACUAGGUGUCGGGGGAAUCGACCCCCUCGGUGUCGUAGCCAACGCGUUAAGUGUUCCGCCUGGGGAGUACGCACGCAAGUGUGAAACUCAAAGGAAUUGACGGGGGCCCGCACAAGCGGCGGAGUAUGUGGUUUAAUUCGAUGCAACGCGAAGAACCUUACCAGGGUUUGACAUCCUGCGAACCCCUGAGAAAUCGGGGGGUGCCUUCGGGAGCGCAGAGACAGGUGGUGCAUGGCUGUCGUCAGCUCGUGUCGUGAGAUGUUGGGUUAAGUCCCGCAACGAGCGCAACCCACGUCUUUAGUUGCCAGCAUUCAGUUGGGCACUCUAGAGAGACCGCCGGUGAUAAACCGGAGGAAGGUGUGGAUGACGUCAAGUCAUCAUGCCCCUUACAUCCUGGGCUACACACGUACUACAAUGCUACGGACAAAGGGCAGCAAGCUCGCGAGAGUUAGCAAAUCCCAUAAACCGUGGCUCAGUUCAGAUCGUAGGCUGCAACUCGCCUACGUGAAGGAGGAAUCGCUAGUAAUCGCAGGUCAGCAUACUGCGGUGAAUACGUUCCCGGGCCUUGUACACACCGCCCGUCACACCAUGGAAGUUGGCCAUGCCCGAAGUCGUUACUCCAACCCUUGUGGAGGAGGACGCCGAAGGUGGGGCUGAUGACUGGGGUGAAGUCGGAACAAGGUA
rnacentral:rRNA from 1 species